UGUACGUUAAAUCUGCUUUAUUCGCUAUUAGGAUUACUAUCGGUGGAACCUUCCUAGUUUUCCUCGCGUGUGAUACUAGAAAUCUGAAAUAAAUAUCGGAUUUGUUAUCCCGUUCCCCGUUUAAUCGGUUCACCAGGAGGAGACGAGCCAACUCGUUACUCAGAUUGCCAAUCCCGGCUGCGAAGAAGUCUUUGGCUACCAGGCUGAAAGAGAUUGCUGCACGAUGCUGACAAUCGACGAUGAGAUUGCGUUUACGAGUCGUGGAACAGGUGCCAAUUUUUCUGCCAGAUCGUGGCCAAUAUCGAGGAGUCACGAAUGGACCUGCACCGCUCACGAAAUAAACGAUCUAUUUAUUUAAAAAAAUAGAGAUAAGAUACAUAAAAGUUAUAGUGGUUUAUGAAAGUAUUUGCAGACUUACGGAUACUUUUUACGAACAUAUCAUGUACGUUGUACGAUAUUAUUUAACGAUCCAACUUCUAAUUUAUGCUAUCAUUUACGAGAUAACGGGGGAAUGAAGAUUUUUAAUAGAUCUUUAC